rnacentral:rRNA from 1 species
AUUGAACGCUAGCGGGAUGCUUUACACAUGCAAGUCGAACGAGUGGCGGACGGGUGAGUAAUAUCUCGGAAAGUGCCCAGUAGCGGGGGAUAACUCCUCGAAAGAGUGGCUAAUACCGCAUACUAUUAGAGCGGCCGAUAUCGGAGUAGCUAGUUGGUGGGGUAAAGGCUCACCAAGGCAACGAUCCGUAGCUGGUUUGAGAGGAUGACCAGCAAAACUGGGACUGAGACACGGCCCAGACUCCUAAGGGAGGCAGCAGUGGGGAAUUUUGGACAAUGGGGGAAAUCCUGAUCCAGCCAUCCCGCGUGUAUGAGAAGGCCUUCGGGUUGUAAAGUACUUUUGGCAGAGAAGCGGUAUCUGCAGAAUAAGCACCGGCUAACUACGUGCCAGCCGCCGCGGUAAUUC